rnacentral:tRNA from 1 species
GGGAUUGUAGUUCAAUUGGUUAGAGCACCACUUUCUUAAGGUGGAAGCUGCGGGUUCGAGUCCCGCCAGUCCCG